AGGUGUCGUGAUCAGGUGUCGUGAUCAGGUGUAGUGAUCAGGUGUAGUGAUCAGGUGUAGUGAUGAGCCUCCGGAGCCCCCUGUCAUAACAGAUGACUGACGUCACUCAGGCGUCGUCCAUUAAUGUUUACAGUCUUAUGAUCUAAAGGAAAAGAUAACAUGGCUUAACUACUGCGCCAAAACAAAA